GGCCGGGGCCGGGGCCCAGCUCUAGGCCUGCGGGCAGCGGACUCCUGCCCCCAGGGGUAGCUCAGGCGCAGCCGGUGGUUACAGUUCCCGCCUCGCCCCGCUAGGUGGCGCCCCGAGCUCGGUUGCGAGGCUCUAGAACGGCCGCGGCUGGAGGCUGCCCCGGCAGCUCGGAGGCAGCGGCUGGGCGCGUCCGGGCAGCCUGGCUGAGGGAAGCGCUCGGGCGGCGCUCGCUGUGCAGCCGCUGGGCCUGGGCGGGGAGGAGCCGGGGCUGCCAUGAGCGCAGGCGGGGGCCGGGAGGAGGGAGCCGCCGCCGCGGUGCUGCAGCUGCUCCGGGAGCAACCGGAGCCCCAGGCGGAGGAGAGCGGGGCUCAGCGCUUCGCCCUCUGCCUGCCCCCUGGGGAGGAGGUAAAAGAAGUAGAAGAAACCAUAGAAGAGAUGUUAAUAAGGCUGGAUGAGUUCUGUGGCAUGACUGAUGUGAUUAGAAGCGAUACAUCCCAGAUCCUGGAUGAGACCAUUCCGCUCAUUAAAGCCAAGGUGGUAGAAAUGAACAACAUCUAUGCCAAAAUUGAUAAAUUAGAGGCAUUUGUUAAAAUGGUUGGACGCCAUGUCUCGUUUCUAGAAGAACAAGUGCUUCAAGCGGAGGGGAACCACAGCACUGUGUUUCAUGCUGUUCGCAAACUACUUCAGUCUGCAGCUAUACCUUCUUUUAAAAAUUUGCAGGCAAAAGACGUUGACGUGUAAAGAGAGAAAGUGGUCUAGAUUGAAGUAGGAUUACUAGAGAGAGAACAACCCCCAGGAGUGAAUAGUUACAAGACCAGACCUAUGAGGAAGCCUGCUGGGUGAGUGAAAAGCAUACUCCAGCAGCACAGCAUACAUAUGACCUGCCUAAACUCUACAGAACUGAAGAUUAUUUUCCUAGGAACUAUGUAGGUACAAGGUAUCAAAGCCACUAGUAGCUGACUUCAUCUUAUAAGCAGCUUUUUAGGGAAAUGUUACUUGAAAUUUUUUCAUGUCUGACUUUUGUUUUUAUGAUUCAUGUUUUGUCCCAAUAAAAACUUGAAUUCUGCUAAGAGGUAAAUGUAUAGCAAUGAUGGGGAAGGAGUGGCCUAUGGGUUUAUUAUAUAUGCAGUUAGCUCCCUUAUUUUAAGGGGAGCCUAAAUAGUAUGCAUAGGGAAGAAGUGUAAAUAUAGUUCAGAAUAUAUUUGAUCACAAUGGUUUUAAGUAUGGAACUGUUUUAUGCUAUUGCUAGGAAAAAAUAUAAACACUCAUUUUGUUUACGGUGACAUUUUAGAAACCAGUUUGUUUACAUAUUUGAUCAGAAGGCUGCAGAUUGCUGUAUGUAUAGCAUAUUAAAAGUAUUUCAUGUUAUGUGAUUUUCCUCCCACGUUUGAUGUGUUACAUUAUAGAUAUUAACCACAGUCUUUUGGUGAUAUUUCAUACCAAAAGCCUCCCACUGUUUUGAAUUUACAAGAUUUAUCUUGUACCUCUCAAAUCAGUGUGGUACAAUUUUGGAAAUUCAGUCAGUUACGCAUGGCUGACUUUCACAGAAACUUAGAUCAGCUUCAAAAGCUGUUGUAUAAUGGAACUUGAAUUGUGUAAAUAAAUUUCUGCAAAGCUA